rnacentral:snRNA from 1 species
GUUCACUCCGAUGAACAUUUCCUAAAAUUGCAACAAUAUAGAGAAGAUUAGAAUGGCCCCUACGAAAGGAUGACACGCAAAUCUGCGAAACAUCCCAAAUUUUU